ACACGACUCUCGACAACGGAUAUCUAGGCUCUCGCAUCGAUGAAGAACGUAGCAAAAUGCGAUACUUGGUGUGAAUUGCAGAAUCCCGUGAAUCAUCGAGUUUUUGAACGCAAGUUGCGCCCGAGGCCACC
rnacentral:rRNA from 1 species